AUUGAACGCUGGCGGCAGGCUUAACACAUGCAAGUCGAGCGGGGAGAUGUAGCUUGCUACAUUUCCUAGCGGCGGACGGGUGAGUAAUGCUUAGGAAUCUGCCUAUUAGUGGGGGACAACAUUCCGAAAGGAAUGCUAAUACCGCAUACGCCCUACGGGGGAAAGCAGGGGAUCUUCGGACCUUGCGCUAAUAGAUGAGCCUAAGUCAGAUUAGCUAGUUGGUGGGGUAAAGGCCUACCAAGGCGACGAUCUGUAGCGGGUCUGAGAGGAUGAUCCGCCACACUGGGACUGAGACACGGCCCAGACUCCUACGGGAGGCAGCAGUGGGGAAUAUUGGACAAUGGGCGCAAGCCUGAUCCAGCCAUGCCGCGUGUGUGAAGAAGGCCUUUUGGUUGUAAAGCACUUUAAGCGAGGAGGAGGCUACCUGGAUUAAUACUCUAGGAUAGUGGACGUUACUCGCAGAAUAAGCACCGGCUAACUCUGUGCCAGCCGCCGCAGUAA
rnacentral:rRNA from 1 species